rnacentral:rRNA from 1 species
AUUGAACGCUGGCGGAAUGCUUUACACAUGCAAGUCGAGCGGCAGCGCGGGGGCAACCCUGGCGGCGAGCGGCGAACGGGUGAGUAACAUAUCGGAACGUACCCUGUCGUGGGGGAUAACUAUCCGAAAGGAUAGCUAAUACCGCAUACGACCUGAGGGUGAAAGCGGGGGAUCGCAAGACCUCGCGCGAUAGGAGCGGCCGAUAUCGGAUUAGCUAGUUGGUGGGGUAAAGGCUCACCAAGGCGACGAUCCGUAGCUGGUCUGAGAGGACGACCAGCCACACUGGAACUGAGACACGGUCCAGACUCCUACGGGAGGCAGCAGUGGGGAAUUUUGGACAAUGGGGGCAACCCUGAUCCAGCCAUUCCGCGUGAGUGAAGAAGGCCUCGGUU